rnacentral:lncRNA from 1 species
AUGCAUGUUUUCCUGUUUAGACAUAUGGACGCAGGUGCCGUCUUGUUCCUUGCGGAAUUCUCCUGGCACGUCGCGGGAGCCUGCUGCGGGUGGAGUGGACACAUCGGUCCUAGCCCUGGGACCUGCGUGUUUACCUUUGGGAAGAGGGUCUUGGGAGGUGGCACCGAGGAAGGAGGAGGCCUCCUGGAGGAGUGUGGGACAGUGCCUGAGAACACGAGGGAGGCGCGGCCAGGGACACGCGGGGGAGACGGGCAGGCCCAGCGGGAGGCGGGGACCUGGGGGGUGCAGCUGCAGGCCAGGGACGCCGGGGCCGGCCACGCCGGGAGCUGGAGGAGGCCAGGCGGGGCCCCAGCCCCGGCUCAGGUGGUCCGAGCUGAGGCCACAGAAAACAUGUGUCUGCCCAGAGCUGAAUUGAAGACCCCCGCGGGGCAGGGCCGGGGUGGCUAUGCCCCCCUUUCUCCAGGACCUUUGUAGCAACUGCUUUGCUGCCAUCCCCCAGCCCACGUGGGCACACAAUAAGAACAACCAGCCUUGCACAGAUGCAAAUUCAGAGUCAUAAACGGAAUAUCGACAGCAAUUACAACCACAUCGCCAUCCCUCAUACAAUCAAAUGCCCCAGCUGCCAUCCGAAGAAAAUGUAGGUUUGAAAAGCUGCGAGAGAACACAUUAUCCAACAAACAAAGCGAGCCUCGCUGGAGAAGCCUGGGAAAGGAUGCUCUGAGAACUCUGGAGGGAGGCUCUAAAUGGCUUCUUACAUUUCUGAUGGGAAAAAAAAAAGUUAAAAUAAACAUUUAAACCAAAGAUCUCACUGUGUAACUCAAUUAUGAACCCCACCAGAAUGAAUUUAGCAGCAUGCUUCUUUUGGGUUCUAUCUGGGAAGUGGGAUGAAGUUGCAGAACAACCUUAUGCCUUUAGGGGGAGUGGGAAAGGGUGUAUUAGUUAGUUAGUGCUGCGUAACAAAAAGGCCUAGAACACAAU